rnacentral:rRNA from 1 species
AAGGUCGGUGAAGGUGGACAACCGAACCUUCCAUGAACCUACUCACCUUGUGAGAUACUUAACCGCCCAAAUGAAUCAAUGUCGCGAUCGGAGGUACUUCGAAAGAUGGAAAAAUGCUCCUAUGGCUGGAAGAUUUCCGCGGAAUGAUGGAAUUGAUUAUCGCCUAUCAUGUCUGUGGAUUGAAAAGGCACUCGUAAGUUCCAUAAUCAUCAGGAACGCGUUUGCCGUUCAGGAAGGAAAUCUAAUGGCUCAUGCAACCGCUGCAGGUGGAACGCAAGUAGCAAAUAAAUUGUGCCGCCACUGUCAUAGCGAUCUUGAGACAGUUGCGCAUAUCGUAUCCAACUGCCAAAAAUGGCUACCAAAUCUUUAUAUUGAUCGUCAUGAUUCCGUAGCGCGGAAUGUAUAUUUCGCUAUAUGCGUGAAAUAUGGCUUGUCUAUCAUUCAUUACAGCAACCAGAUCCCUCCGGUUGCUGAAAAUGAGAGUGCAAAGGUAUUGUGGAAUAUGGAGAUAAGAACGAAAUCCUUGCUGUUUCACCGUCGGCCAGAUAUACUAAUAUUUGACAAGGUAAGACGCCGAAUUUUGGUGAUUGAAAUAUCCAUUUCUGGAAUGUACGGAAUGAAGCAGCAGCUAAGUAUAAAGACUAACCGGUACACGGUUAAUUCUAUGAAGUUGAACGAGGAAUCUAGCACCCCAUACCCACCUGGACCUAACCUGGUAAGGGAUCUCCAGGAGACAUACCGUCAAGAGGUCAGGUUCUACCCCUUGAUAGUAGGAGUAUGCGGUGAACAAAUAUCGGAAACAAGAACCUAUUUAUCGGAAAUACUAGAGCGCAAAGUUUCAGAUUGUGAUAGUAUCGUAGAGCGGAUGUCACGUUCAGCAGCGAUCGGUACAUCCAGAAUUGUCAAGGCCCACUUUUCUCGGUAAGUAUUCUCGCGUGAAGAGAAGUGAUAGCGAAGCGGAGAGUUCAAGUAAAGGAAGCCACGCUCGUCAUCCUCAAAGCUCCGGGACCCGUUCCCAUUGUCUUGGCUCGCUGGAUAAUAGAUGGAGAUGGGGGUUAAUCCGUGAUGAUUAAAACCCACCACCGGACGGAAGAUCAGAGAUUCCGGUGGUAACCUGAGGGUCGAUGACCCUUACCGAUGGCCUUUGGCCACCGGGGCUACCUCUGUGAGGGGGUAGCAGGAUGCGAAAUGACGCGCAUGAAUGGAUUAACGAGAUUCCCACUGUCCCUAUCUACUAUCUAGCGAAACCACAGCCAAGGGAACGGGCUUGGCGAACACAGCGGGGAAAGAAGACCCUGUUGAGCUUGACUCUAGUCCGACUCUGUGAAGAGUCAUGAGAGGUGUAGCAUAAGUGGGAGGCUUUCGCCAACAGUGAAAUACCACUACUUUCAUCGAUUCUUUACUUAUUCGGUAAGACGAGAAUUGAGCCUAUCCGGCUCUUGAUUCUGGUGUUAAGUGCAGCCACUCGGUGGCCGUUCGACUCGCGCCGAAGACAGUGUCAGGCGGGGAGUUUGACUGGGGCGGUACAUCUGUCAAAUCGUAACGCAGGUGUCCUAAGGCUAGCUCAGAGAGGACGGAAACCUCUCGUAGAGCAAAAGGGCAAAAGCUCGCUUGAUCUUGAUUUUCAGUACGAAUACAGACCGCGAAAGCGUGGCCUAUCGAUCCUUUUGAAUUAGAAGGUCUCUAGCAAGAGGUGUCAGAAAAGUUACCACAGGGAUAACUGGCUUGUGGCAGCCAAGCGUCCAUAGCGACGUUGCUUUUUCCUUCGAUGUCGGCUCUUCCUAUCAUUGCGAAGCAGAAUUCGCCAAGCGUUGAAUUGUUCACCCACCAAUAGGGAACGUGAGCUGGGUUUAGACCGUCGUGAGACAGGUUAGUUUUACCCUACUGUGACUCGUUGUUGCGAUAGUAAUCCUGCUUAGUACGAGAGGAACCGCAGGUUCAGACAUUUGGUUCAUGUGCUUGGCCGAUCGGCCAAUGGUGCGAAGCUACCAUCUGAGGGAUUAUGACUGAACGCCUCUAAGUCAGAAUCCCGCCUAGUGAAGGCAACGAUAAAUUUGCUCCCCGGUGUCGGGAGGCACUUCUAUGUGACUAUUGAAGUUACAGCUAAUGCCCCAUUAUAUGGCCUUACCGAGCGAUUGAAAGGUCGUGCGGUUGCCAAAGCCGGACUACAGGUACAAUGUCGGGGCGCAAAAUCACUUGCAGACGACUUGAUUACUGGUCAAGGUGUUGUAUCCAGUAGAGCAGCCUCCAUACUGCGAUCUGUUGAGACUCAUCCUUUGAUUGGACGAUUUGU